rnacentral:rRNA from 1 species
GAUGAACGCUAGCUAUAGGCUUAACACAUGCAAGUCGAGGGGUAACGAGAGGAAAGCUUGCUUUCCUUGUCGACGACCGGCGCACGGGUGAGUAACGCGUAUCCAACCUGCCCCCAACUAGGGAAUAACCUUGCGAAAGUAAGACUAAUACCCUAUAAUUUCCUCAGAUGUCAUCUGACGAGGAAUAAAGAUUUAUCGGUUGUGGAUGGGGAUGCGUCGGAUUAGCUUGUUGGCGGGGUAACGGCCCACCAAGGCAACGAUCAGUAGGGGUUCUGAGAGGAAGGUCCCCCACAUUGGAACUGAGACACGGUCCAAACUCCUACGGGAGGCAGCAGUGAGGAAUAUUGGUCAAUGGGCGGAAGCCUGAACCAGCCAAGUAGCGUGCAGGAUGACGGCCCUAUGGGUUGUAAACUGCUUUUAUACAGGAAUAAAGUUAGCCACGUGUGGUUAUUUGUAGGUACUGUAUGAAUAAGGACCGGCUAAUUCCGUGCCAGCCGCCGCGGUAA